rnacentral:lncRNA from 1 species
GGUGAUAAAGGGUAGUCCUCUCUGCCCUCUAUUUAAACUGUUAGUUAUGUUUAUUCUUAUUUAGAAUUGCAGAGGUGAUAGAAGGCACCCAAUUACUAACUAUCAUUCUCAUGUUUCUCGAAGAUACAAAUUGGAUCCGAUCCUCCUUCAAAGACCCAUGUUGUUGUGACGAAGCUUGUAGUUGUGAAUAGAUGGUUUGGUAGAACUUGGAGCUUCUUUUCCCAAGACUCUGUCGGGGCCUCAAGAGGUAUUAUGCUUACUUGGAAAAUGAAUUUUGCUAUUAUGUAAGUGAUAUCUAAACAUCCUUGUCCGGC